rnacentral:rRNA from 1 species
GGGAAAAGCUCAAAUUUAAAAUCUGGCAGUUUUUAAUUGUCCGAGUUGUAAUUUAGAGAAGUGUUAUCCGUGCUGGACCGUGUACAAGUCUCCUGGAAUGGAGCGUCAUAGAGGGUGAGAAUCCCGUCUUUGACACGGACUGCCAGUGCAUUGUGAUGCGCUCUCAAA